GAACGUAGCGAUGGAGCUAUUGGUAUUACUAAGAUGCUUAUUUUUUUCUUUCUUUCUUUGUUCUAGUCUGUGGACACGUUUUUUCCUAGUAAACUUUCUUCGAUUUUUACGUGUAGCAACUUUUCUGAAAGGUCUAGUUGCCUAGAUGUUACUUUGCGAAAAUGGCAAAAAAAAAUUACGGCACUUCAAAUUAUCUAUUAUCGAACUGCGCUCGGAAUCGUCUUUCGUCAAGCAAUGGUUUUUCGUUGCUUACAGAUAAAAAUGAAAUAACGGUAUGUAUCCUAA